rnacentral:rRNA from 1 species
UACGUAGGGUGCAAGCGUUGUCCGGAAUUAUUGGGCGUAAAGAGCUCGUAGGCGGUUUGUCGCGUCGGCUGUGAAAACUGGAGGCUUAACCUUCAGCGUGCAGUCGAUACGGGCAGACUGGAGGUAUGCAGGGGAGAACGGAAUUCCUGGUGUAGCGGUGAAAUGCGCAGAUAUCAGGAGGAACACCGGUGGCGAAGGCGGUUCUCUGGGCCUGACCUGACGCCGAGGAGCGAAAGCUAGGGGAGCAAACGGG